GACGAACGCUGGCGGCGUGCUUAACACAUGCAAGUCGAACGGAAAGGCCCUGCUUUUGUGGGGUGCUCGAGUGGCGAACGGGUGAGUAACACGUGAGUAACCUGCCCUUGACUUUGGGAUAACUUCAGGAAACUGGGGCUAAUACCGGAUAGGAGCUCCUGCUGCAUGGUGGGGGUUGGAAAGUUUCGGCGGUUGGGGGUGGACUCGCGGCUUAUCAGCUUGUUGGUGGGGUAGUGGCUUACCAAGGCUUUGACGGGUAGCCGGCCUGUGAGGGUUACCGGCCACAAUGGGAAUGAGAUACGGACCAGAAUCCUACGGGAGGCAGCAGUGGGGAAUAUUGCACAAUGGGCGGAAGCCUGAUGCAGAAACGCCGCGUGCGGGAUGAAGGCCUUCGGGUUGUAAACCGAUUUCGCCUGUGACGAAGCGUGAGUGACGGUAAUGGGUAAAGAAGCACCGGCUAACUACGUG
rnacentral:rRNA from 1 species